GAGAUAUGUGCUCCCUACUGGAUCUUACACUUCGAAAUGUGAAUGCUGGAAAAGUUUGAGGCAAUUCAGGAAAGAACGAUAGGAAUGCAGCGUGAUCUGGAAAAUAUGCCUCUUUUCUGUCGGCAUCAUGGGAGAACUAAGGAACUCGUAGCCAAUUGACCAUAAGAUUAAGGUUUGAAUGAGCAAACUAACCAAAGGACAAAGCACAGGAAACCUUGACUUCGGUGUCUGCAUCCCACUGCCCUUUGACCAUUAUUCACCGUCUCCCUUUAUGAAUUGAACUAAAGAACUUGACAAUAACGAGCCUGCAGACUGCUGAAACAUCUAUAUUAAGUUAACCACGUGCCGGGGACAUGCCUCUAUCAUCCUGGAUCAGUUCCUGAUGACUGACCUUCUGCAGGAGCAGUGGACUGCAUUCAUGAGGAGGCACCACUUUUGCUGCCCUAAGUGUUUUCUCUUCUGUCCUGAAGCAGAAGUCUAUCUCCAAACACUACCACGUCAGCUCCAAGCCGAUGGCAAUAAUACCCAUCUUUCUGUAACCAACCCCUUGGAAUCAUUUGAAGCACUGAAACGACAAGACUGUCCACGGGGGAAAGGACACAAAGACAUCAAAUAUUGACCAAUUAUAGGGCUUAAAACAAAGGAAUGAGCAUGCCUUGUAUUGCAUAUCAUUGGAUUACGUUCUCGAUACUUUGCAAAGGUCUCCUCCAUCCCUGGUGCCCGGCUGUACUCAACAAUACCCCUAAAGACCACUUGGGACGAGUGGCCGUUCUGACCUCACCACCCUGCCAGCUCCCAGGGCUUUUCUCUAGUCCUCGGUAACCAAUCUGUUCAGCAGUGCUUUGCUGUGAUUUCCCUUUUGUUGUCACUGUUUAUUUUUCUGUGGAAUUACAUGCUCUAAUUGCGUAAAUAAACAGUCAGAAACCAACCCAAACUGCUGGGCAUCCUGAGGGCUUUCCCUUCCCUGCAGACUCACUGCCCAUUUCCAGGUUCCCACUAUCUUUGCUUUUCUCCUUUUGUUCCUUCUUGUACUGCCUAGAGGGGAGAAUUUGUCACCGAGUGUGAGGAACGCUCCAACUCCUGAGAAAAUCAUAAACAGGCUGCAGUCCCUCAUGAAAGACAGGAAAACAAAUGUGUGAAAGGCAAAAUCCACCAUCUUUAAUUUAUUUUUCAUUGAAAAGCUGAUUGCACUCAUCCUCAGAAUCAUCAGAAAUGCCUCAAAGUGUUGCAAAGCACACAGGUGCUCGGGCCAACCCCUGGGACUCGCGGCCAGAUUUGUCACCUGCAUUCAGUGCCAAUGGAGAUGAUGACCCUACCUGCUCCAUCCCUAAGGAAGCCUCAGGUAGGGGUGCAGGUCCCCAUCCCAAAGGUAGGGAGCAACACGCAAACAUGGCCCAGGACAUCUUUUCCAAGACAUUGUCAGCUAAGAUGUGAGAAAAACGACUUGCCACGGGAUCAUGCUUUUUCUAAAGCCUUUGAGAAAAAGAAUGACUUUGGAAGAGCCCUGUAACAUUCAAUAGAUGCAACUCCUUAACACAUCUAAAUAAAAGUAUGGAUAAUUCCAAUAGACACUGCUUUAAAAACAAACAAAUAAACAAACAACCCCAUCAAGCUAACUGAAUACAAAUGAUAAUCUUACCUGGGAUUUGUAUU
ensembl:lncRNA